rnacentral:rRNA from 1 species
GGUUCUAACUCUGGUCCGUGAUCCGGAUCGAGGACAGUGUAUGGUGGGCAGUUUGACUGGGGCGGUCUCCUCCUAAAGAGUAACGGAGGAGUACGAAGGUGCGCUCAGACCGGUCGGAAAUCGGUCGUAGAGUAUAAAGGCAAAAGCGCGCUUGACUGCGAGACAGACACGUCGAGCAGGUACGAAAGUAGGUCUUAGUGAUCCGGUGGUUCUGUAUGGAAGGGCCAUCGCUCAACGGAUAAAAGGUACUCCGGG